GAAGCGGCAACAGCUCAAAUUUGAAAUCUGAUCUCUUCGAGGUCCGAGUUGUAAUUUGUAGAGGGCGCUUUGGUGUUGGCUGCGGUCUAAGUUCCUUGGAACAGGACGUCAUAGAGGGUGAGAAUCCCGUCUGUGGUCGCAUGUCUUCACCGUGUAAAGCCCCUUCGACGAGUCGAGUUGUUUGGGAAUGCAGCUCUAAAUGGGAGGUAAAUUUCUUCUAAAGCUAAAUACUGGCCAGAGACCGAUAGCGCACAAGUAGAGUGAUCGAAAGAUGAAAAGCACUUUGGAAAGAGAGUCAAAAAGCACGUGAAAUUGUUGAAAGGGAAGCGCUUGCAGCCAGACUUGCUUGCAGUUGCUCAUCCGGGCGUUCGCCCGGUGCACUCUUCUGUAGGCAGGCCAGCAUCAGUUUGGGCGGUUGGAUAAAGGCCUCUGUCAUGUAUCUUCUCCGGAAGACCUUAUAGGGGAGGCGUAAUGCAACCAGCCUGGACUGAGGUCCGCGCAUCUGCUAGGAUGCUGGCGUAAUGGCUGUAAGCGGCCCGUCUUGAAACACGGACCAAGGAGUCUAACAUCUAUGCGAGUGUUUGGGUGUCAAGCCCGAGCGCGUAAUGAAAGUGAACGGAGGUGGGAACCCUUGGGUGCACCAUCGACCGAUCCUGAUGUCUUCGGAUGGAUUUGAGUAAGAGCAUAGCUGUUGGGACCCGAAAGAUGGUGAACUAUGCUUGAAUAGGGUGAAGCCAGAGGAAACUCUGGUGGAGGCUCG
rnacentral:rRNA from 1 species